GAUGAACGCUGGCGGCGUGCCUAAUACAUGCAAGUCGAGCGAACAGAUGAUGAGCUUGCUCCUCUGACGUUAGCGGCGGACGUGUGAGUAACACGUUGAUAACCUACCUAUAAGACUGGGAGAACUUCGGGAAACCGGAGCUAAUACCGGAUAAUAUAUUGAACCGCAUGGUUCAAUAGUGAAAGACGGUUUUGCUGUCACUUAUAGAUGGAUCCGCGCCGCAUUAGCUAGUUGGUAAGGUAACGGCUUACCAAGGCAACGAUGCGUAGCCGACCUGAGAGGGUGAUGGGCCACACUGGAACUGAGACACGGUCCAGACUCCUACGGGAGGCAGCAGUAGGGAAUCUUCGGAAAUGGGCGAAAGCCUGACGGAGCACCGCCGCGUGAGUGAUGAAGGUCUUCGGAUCGUAAAACUCUGUUAUUAGGGAAGAACAAAUGUGUAAGUAACUAUGCACGUCUUGACGGUACCUAAUCAGAAAGCCACGGCUAACUACGUG
rnacentral:rRNA from 1 species